rnacentral:rRNA from 1 species
UACGAAGGGUGCAAGCGUUACUCGGAAUUACUGGGCGUAAAGGGUGCGUAGGUGGCUCUUUAAGUCUGCUGUGAAAGCCCCGGGCUCAACCUGGGAAUGGCAGUGGAUACUGGAGAGCUAGAGUGCGGUAGAGGGUAGUGGAAUUCCCGGUGUAGCAGUGAAAUGCGUAGAGAUCGGGAGGAACACCAGUGGCGAAGGCGGCUACCUGGACCAGCACUGACACUGAAGCACGAAAGCGUGGGGAGCAAACAGG